rnacentral:rRNA from 1 species
GAUGAACGCUGGCGGCGUGCCUAAUACAUGCAAGUCGAGCGAACAGACGAGGAGCUUGCUCCUCUGACGUUGGCGGCGGACGGGUGAGUAACACGUGGAUAACCUACCUAUAAGACUGGGAUAACUUCGGGAAACCGGAGCUAAUACCGGAUAAUAUAUUGAACCGCAUGGUUCAAUAGUGAAAGACGGUUUUGCUGUCACUUAUAGAUGGAUCCGCGCCGCAUUAGCUAGUUGGUAAGGUAACGGCUUACCAAGGCAACGAUGCGUAGCCGACCUGAGAGGGUGAUCGGCCACACUGGAACUGAGACACGGUCCAGACUCCUACGGGAGGCAGCAGUAGGGAAUCUUCCGCAAUGGGUGAAAGCCUGACGGAGCAACGCCGCGUGAGUGAUGAAGGUCUUCGGAUCGUAAAACUCUGUUAUUAGGGAAGAACAAAUGUGUAAGUAACUAUGCACGUCUUGACGGUACCUAAUCAGAAAGCCACGGCUAACUACGUG